GAAAGUCGUGUGCAAUGAAAAAUGCAAGCACGAUUUGGCGAGGGAUUUUUUUUUAUUGUAACCAGAAAGAAUUAUCUACUCCAU
rfam:Dichanthelium oligosanthes cultivar Kellogg 1175 unplaced genomic scaffold Do_version_2_scaffold48, whole genome shotgun sequence.